rnacentral:rRNA from 1 species
UGGGGAAUUUUGGACAAUGGGCGAAAGCCUGAUCCAGCAAUGCCGCGUGUGUGAAGAAGGCCUUCGGGUUGUAAAGCACUUUUGUCCGGAAAGAAAUCCUUGGCUCUAAUACAGUCGGGGGAUGACGGUACCGGAAGAAUAAGCACCGGCUAACUACGUGCCAGCAGCCGCGGUAAUACGUAGGGUGCAAGCGUUAAUCGGAAUUACUGGGCGUAAAGCGUGCGCAGGCGGUUUGCUAAGACCGAUGUGAAAUCCCCGGGCUCAACCUGGGAACUGCAUUGGUGACUGGCAGGCUAGAGUAUGGCAGAGGGGGGUAGAAUUCCACGUGUAGCAGUGAAAUGCGUAGAGAUGUGGAGGAAUACCGAUGGCGAAGGCAGCCCCCUGGGCCAAUACUGACGCUCAUGCAUGAAAGCGUGGGGAGCAAACAGGAUUAGAUACCCUGGUAGUCCACGCCCUAAACGAUGUCAACUAGUUGUUGGGGAUUCAUUUCCUUAGUAACGUAGCUAACGCGUGAAGUUGACCGCCUGGGGAGUACGUCGCAAGAUUAAAACUCAAAUGAAUUGACGGGGUCAUAGCUGUUUCCU